AGAGUUUGAUCAUGGCUCAGAUUGAACGCUGGCGGCAUGCUUUACACAUGCAAGUCGAACGGCAGCGCGGGCUUCGGCCUGGCGGCGAGUGGCGAACGGGUGAGUAAUACAUCGGAACGUGCCCAGUAGUGGGGGAUAGCUCGGCGAAAGCCGGAUUAAUACCGCAUACGACCUGAGGGUGAAAGCGGGGGAUCUUCGGACCUCGCGCUAUUGGAGCGGCCGAUGGCAGAUUAGCUGGUUGGUGGGGUAAAGGCCUACCAAGGCGACGAUCUGUAGCUGGUCUGAGAGGACGACCAGCCACACUGGGACUGAGACACGGCCCAGACUCCUACGGGAGGCAGCAGUGGGGAAUUUUGGACAAUGGGCGCAAGCCUGAUCCAGCAAUGCCGCGUGUGUGAUGAAGGCCUUCGGGUUGUAAAGCACUUUUGGCGGGAACGAAAAGGACUGUGCCAAUACCACGGUUCGAUGACGGUACCCGCAGAAUAAGCACCGGCUAACUACGUGCCAGCAGCCGCGGUAAUACGUAGGGUGCGAGCGUUAAUCGGAAUUACUGGGCGUAAAGAGUGCGCAGGCGGUUUUGCAAGACCGAUGUGAAAUCCCCGGGCUUAACCUGGGAACUGCAUUGGUGACUGCAAGGCUAGAGUGUGUCAGAGGGAGGUGGAACUCCGCAUGUAGCAGUGAAAUGCGUAGAUAUGCGGAAGAACACCGAUGGCGAAGGCAGCCUCCUGGGAUAACACUGACGCUCAUGCACGAAAGCGUGGGGAGCAAACAGGAUUAGAUA
rnacentral:rRNA from 1 species